CAACCGUCAGCUGUUACCGGGCAGAUCAUUUUGGCUCAGUCAAUCAUUGGCCAGUCUGAGGAGAGUUGUCUUAUGAUGUGUGUGCACGUGAAGUCAUCGUUUUUAUAUUUUUCUUCUGGGAUGAAUAGCUAUUGCCCGGUUGUAAAAUUAUCACAAUUUUACGUAAGAAAAUACCCUAAAGGAUUGAUUGUAAACAUCGUUUGACGUGUUUCUACAAACGGUAAUGGAACUUUGAACAUUUCGUAUAUGGAUUUGCGUCCACGCCACAUGGCAUUGUAAAGUGUUCUGGAUGGGUCAACAAAACGGACGUAUUUGGACAUAAAUGAUGGACUUUGCAGAACAAAUGAACAUUUCUUGUGGAAGUGGGUGCCCAUCCGAGUGCAUUCCACCGAAGAUCAGCAAAGCUUCCUUCACACAUCAGAACUACACGAAGUGAGGCGAUCAAUACCUCAACUCCAGCUACCAACUAUUCCAUUCCUGAAGACCCACUGGCUGGCUACUUUUACCAUAUCAAAUCAAUCAGCACUGCUUCCUUAGCAAUCAACAUCAUCCUGGGUCUCCCCAUGUAAAGGAAUUUAUAUGUUUGAAUGUAAUGAUUAAAUAAUUCUACCCUGAGACUUAACUAUUAGGGAUAUGGUCUAUAUAGCAUGUAGAGUGAGCCUAAGUCUAACGAGGUUGGACUAAGAUAAGAGAAGAAUGUGUGUCUCUCUGUUUAAGUAAACACCAAGAACUGUUAAACUGUGGUUGACCUGCCCUAGCUUGAACUCUGAGGGUUUAAGAUAUGAGAGGGAAUCCUCCUCAAGGUUUCCCUAAUCUCAGAGGAAUGAAACUGUCGGCUGGGUAAUGAUCUAUAGUGUUAAGAGAUCUGGGCCUUAAUGUUUGUGUGUAUGUGUGUGCGUAAAUACGGAACAUGGUAUAUAAUGAUGUCUCUGUACAAUGGACUUCAGAGCGCACUCGUGAAUAAACACUUCUGAAUCUUGUAAGCUGGGCCUCCGUCUGUGUUAUUCAACCAGAAUCUUACCCAUUCUGGGAGGCAGACUGAGUAUGUUAAUUGGAGUUAACAUUGAGAACAUAAUUCUCAUAACACCCCACUAAUGUCUACAUUCUAUGGCUGAUACUGACUGAAGAUGCAGGGACGAUGGCCUCAGAGUUCUUCUUUCUCAACUUGGCCAUGUCUGAGGUCCUCUUCUGCUUGUUUUCAAUCUUGUAUUUUAUCUGGUUACACAACCCCUCAAUCGUUGUCUCAUGCAUCAUGUUCUUUUCUUAUGAUUUUCUCUACACCGGCCGUCCUGUUUCAAAGCCGUAUCUGUAUGGAGCGCUACCUGGCAGUGGUCCACCCUGUGGUCUACCUGAAUUACAAACCCCUGAGAUACAGGGUUGGGUGUUGUAGUCUUGUCUGGCUGAUGGUGCAUUGGUCCUGUCUGUUCUUUAUGCUGGUAGAUGAAAGAUCUGUUGUAUUGUUUUUUGUGUUAAAUCUCUUCUGCUACCUCUCAGUUCUCAGGGCUCUGAAAUGUCCCAGGCCGGGGGGAGGGGAGUGCGAAGGCACAAAUAACAUGAAGAUCAGGACCUUCAUGAUCAUUUAGAUUAUCAUGGUGUCUAUUGUCAUGAAUUAUCUUCUAUAUUUUUUGGCCUUUAACAUAUGUUUCACCUUCAAUGUG
rnacentral:lncRNA from 1 species